rnacentral:rRNA from 1 species
UUAGUUUGAUCCUGGCUCAGGAGAAGAAGGAGGCGGGCUUAACACAUGCAAGUCGAACGAAAAGACGGAAAGAGCUUGCUCUUUUCAGAAUUGAGUGGCAAACGGGUGAGUAACACGUAAACAACAUGCCUUCAGGAUGGGGACAACAGACGGAAACGACUGCUAAUACCGAAUAAGUUCCAAGAGCCGCAUGACCCAUGGAAGAAAAGGUGGCCUCUACCUGUAAGCUAUCGCCUGAAGAGGGGUUUGCGUCUGAUUAGCUGGUUGGAGGGGUAACGGCCCACCAAGGCGACGAUCAGUAGCCGGUCUGAGAGGAUGAACGGCCACACUGGAACUGAGACACGGUCCAGACUCCUACGGGAGGCAGCAGUGGGGAAUCUUCCGCAAUGGGCGAAAGCCUGACGGAGCAACGCCGCGUGAGUGAUGACGGCCUUCGGGUUGUAAAACUCUGUGAUCCGGGACGAAAAGGCAGAGUGCGAAGAACAAACUGCAUUGACGGUACCGGAAAAGCAAGCCACGGCUAACUACGUGCCAGCAGCCGCGGUAAUACGUAGGUGGCAAGCGUUGUCCGGAAUUAUUGGGCGUAAAGCGCGCGCAGGCGGCUUCCCAAGUCCCUCUUAAAAGUGCGGGGCUUAACCCCGUGAUGGGAAGGAAACUGGGAAGCUGGAGUAUCGGAGAGGAAAGUGGAAUUCCUAGUGUAGCGGUGAAAUGCGUAGAGAUUAGGAAGAGCACCGGUGGCGAAGGCGACUUUCUGGACGAAAACUGACGCUGAGGCGCGAAAGCGUGGGGAGCAAACAGGAUUAGAUACCCCUGGUAGUCCACGCCGUAAACGAUGGAUACUAGGUGUAGGAGGUAUCGACCCCUCCUGUGCCGGAGUUAACGCAAUAAGUAUCCCGCCUGGAAGUACGAUCGUAAGAUUAAAACUCAAAGAAUUUGACGGGGCCCACACCAGCGGUGGAAGAAUGUUGUUUAAUUCCGACGCAUCGCGGAAUACUCUUA